rnacentral:tRNA from 1 species
GAGGGCGUGCCGGACUGGUUAUCGGGCAUGACUAGAAAUCAUGUGGGCUUUGCCCGUGCAGGUUUGAAUCAUGUCGCUCACG